GUUAACUUAUAGAGAUGCACUGGACGUUAAUUUCAGUUUUAGUGCUGUGUUGCCUUGGGUCCUGUGUCGCCCAGUCUCAAGGUAUCGCUGAUGCACUGUGUGGCAAGAUUGGAAAGUUGCUUCUUUGUCAAUGUGCAGCAGAAGGGGCGUGCGAAGACGGUUUUAUUCCUGUAGGAAUAUGUCCGAGGAUUCGUGGGAUGCCAAUGCCACCCCAGUUACAAUGCUGUCCGCCAAUAUAUGUAAUGCUCUGCUUGCAGCUACAACGAGGAAAUUCUAACCAGGCACAAGGCGGAAAUUCCCUUCUUUACGCGGGCGCUAAACCACAACCCUUUUUAUGAUUUACGUUCAAAAAUGGAUUUAUAUUUGUAUAAAAUUUUUACUAUCGGACAGUGAAAAACAAGAAAACAUUAAUAGAUAAAAUUGAAAACAUUUUUUUCUACAAAUGCAACUUUGUCCGUGUACCUACCUGCUCAUUUAAUUACUUUCCUUAUAUGGAUAUUUUGAUAAAGCGGAAGAAAUGGAAAAGUUUCUUAGUGGAUUUCCCUAUAAAAUGUAAAAUGCAUUCGAAAGAUUAAGUUCAAAUAAAAAAAGUAUUAUCAGGAUACUUCUGGUUCAGAAUUUUGCCAUGUGAUUAUUCCAAAUUCUUAAGUUAAAAAAGAAUUUGUAUAUUAAACAUGUAAAAAGUCAGCAAGUUGCAUUUUUGUAAUUGUUCGUGAAGAAAUCCUGAGAAUUUUUUUUUCUCAGGAAGAAUGUAAUUUCGAUCCUUAGAAAAUUCUCUUUUUUACUGACACACAAUUUAAACAUUGUACGAAAUAAACAAAUAAAUAAAUAAAUUUCUUCAAAAGUUUGCCUGAAGGAAUGUGAAUGUAAUAUCAAAUGCUGUAAUUUGUAACAAAUUAGUGGAAUUAUACCAGACAGGAGUAUAGAACAUAGAAAACAAGCUGUAAUAUGACAUGUCAAACGUUAUAAUAUUCGAUUUUUUCCUUUUUACAUUCUAUAUUUGUCCAUUUGUACUGUUUAUUUCACAAUUUGUAUUAAACAUAUUUUUGUUUUCUAUAA